AACGGUGGGUACAAAAUACGUUGCCAAAAUAUGUGUUCCUGAAAAGGUUGGCUACAAAAUGCUUCCAUGUAAAGUGAAAGAUUACGAUGAUGGAGAUGAUAAAAAGAAAGGUGGCGGUGAUCAACACCGGAAAUUGCUUUCUUUGAGUGAAGAAAUGAUAUUCCGACGAGUUUUAGCCAGAGCCAGUGACAACGGCAGUACUUGUUCUGAGGGAAUGGUUCCGAUGAUAUCAUAUUAAGCGGUUCACCAGCUUCAUAUAUUCAUUUUUAUUCUUGUCGUUUUCCAUGUCCUAAUAGCAUCGUCUGGCGGAUUCUUCUUUUUUGGGUUUCUUGCAUUGCUAGGGGUUCUGAAAGAUCAAGAGAAGGAGGGGAUUUACAGGGAUUAGAGGUGAAAUAGAUUCUUUCAGAAAUCAGAAUGAUCUAAGGGGAGAAAGAUGUAACAGGGGAGAAAGAUGAUGUGAUGAUGAUGAACCGAUGGGGUUUAAGUUGGGUCCAACAGAAUUUGGGUAUUGCACAUAUGGUCCCUGUUGUUAAGGAGUUUUACAAAGUUACAUGUGAGGGGUUUUAACAUAAAAAAGUUAACUGGGUUUAGCUGAAAUGACACCGCCCGUUAAUGAUUGCAAACAUAAAAAACAUACAGUGUAAUUUUUAAGUUAAAGGACAGCGUCUGUCGAAACAUUGAAACAUAAAGGACGAAAAGUGCAAUUUAGCCUAUCUUUAAUGCCAGUAAAAGGGUGUGUCAAGCGCUAAUAAUCUCUAGUUCAAGUGAUGGAAGGCCAACAUUUCUUUUGGGAGAUGCAUGUUUAACUCCCACUUGGUGUAGAGUGAGAAACUGGUGGACAAUGAUAGAAUACCCAGGAAAACUUGGGUUCGAUCCUUGAGCUAAAUGGGUUUUAAUGGUAAUUUUACCGUCGUGCCUACGGACGGGUGGGUUACCGGGUUUUCCCCGAAAUUGGUGGUGGACUCUGGUUACUCUCAAAGUACUCCAUUUGGUCCAGUGGGUGCCCUAAGAGUGCUCAGGAUUGAUUUUGUUAGCCGCUAAAAAAAAAUAAAUAAGGGCCUCACCCAGUUAAAAUUGAUUUCUUCUUUGAAAUGUCAAAGGGCCAUACGUUUUAAAUAAAUGAAUA